rnacentral:rRNA from 1 species
GAUGAACGCUGGCGGCGUGCCUAAUACAUGCAAGUCGAACGCACCUUUCAUCCCCUUGCUUCUCUGUCGUUAGGGACGAGCAGUUGCGUAACACUUAGUUACCCUACCUUUAAGACUCGGAUAACUUCGGAAAACCGUUGCUAAUACCUGAUAAUAUUUCAUACCACUUUGUUCCACAUUGCAUAACAGUGUUGCUGUCACUUGUGUAUCGAUCCGCGGUGCAUUAGCUAGUUGGUAAGGUAACGGCUUACCAAGGCAACGAUGCAUAGCCGACCUGAGAGGGUGAUCGGCCACACUGGAACUGAGACACGGCCCAGACUCCUACGGGAGGCAGCAGUAGGGAAUCUUCCGCAAUGGGCGAAAGCCUGACGGAGCAACGCCGCGUGAGUGAUGAAGGUUUUCGGAUCGUAAAACUCUGUUAUUAGGGAAGAACAAAUGUGUAAGUAACUGUGCACAUCUUGACGGUACCUAAUCAGAAAGCCACGGCUAACUACGUG